AGUGAACGCUGGCGGCGUGCCUAAUACAUGCAAGCCGAACGGAAUUUAAAAGAGCUUGCUCUUUUAAAUUUAGUGGCGCACGGGUGAGUAAUAUAUAGCUAAUCUGCCCCUUGCUGGAGGACAACAGUUAGAAAUGACUGCUAAUACUCCAUACUCCUUUUUACCAUAAGAUAAAUCGGGAAAGAAUUUCGGCAAGGGAUGAGACUAUAUCGUAUCAGCUAGUCGGUGGGGUAACGGCCUACCGAGGCUAUGACGCGUAACUGGUCUGAGAGGAUGAUCAGUCACAUUGGAACUGAGACACGGUCCAAACUCCUACGGGAGGCAGCAGUAGGGAAUAUUGCGCAAUGGGGGAAACCCUGACGCAGCAACGCCGCGUGGAGGAUGACACUUUUCGGAGCGUAAACUCCUUUUGUUAGGGAAGAAUAAUGACGGUAC
rnacentral:rRNA from 1 species